ACCUGGGUGGCUCAGUUGGUUGAGCAUCUGACUUCAGCUCAGGUCAUGAUCUUGUGGUUUGUGGGUUCAAGCCCUACAUCGGGCU
rnacentral:tRNA from 1 species